rnacentral:lncRNA from 1 species
UUUCCGGCUUCCUCCACUAGCUCACGGUCACACAAAAAAACACAAAAGUACAGAGUUUAAAAGUCCUUCACACAAUGCCUUUAACUGCAUGCCCUCAACCCUCAUACCAAUGCCACUAUUUUACAUUACCAAAAAAUAUCAGAUCACACCAUCUCACCUUUCAAAUAAACUCAUACGUUCAAAUACAUAUGAAGUCUAAGUCAAUUGACAAAACACCUCCUAACAUAUACACUAACACUUUUGCAUACCCCGCUC